AGCUUUCCCCCCCAGCAGCGCUUCAGCGGCUCGGGAACAGCCGCUGCCAUCCCUCGCGCACACCCCUCAACCGAGGCCAAUCGCCGCGCUCCGGCCACGCCCCCUUGGAGGCCCGCCGGCCAAUCGGGAGGCCGGGCGACGGCCGGCCAAUCAGGAAAGUGUUCUCGCGUUCCCAUCUCCGGGCAGUCUCCGAGUUAGAGGCGGAGCCGCCGCUCGAAGGGGGCGGGGGUGGGCGGAGAAAGCGCAGCCUCUCAGCCAACUGUCGCCUCGGAGGCGGGGACUGGUUGCAUAUGGUUGAGCUUUCUUCAGCCAAUGGGAGGAUAAUGGCAGAGAACCAGCAUCAUCCAUAGUAUACUGAAUUUGGAAUUAACAAUAGCCCUAUUCACAUGUUAUGUUCAAUGCUCAUACAGUGAGUGUGCAGUGUACGUACAGAUCUCCAUACAGGGAAAUAGUUUUGGUUUAGCCUUGUUCCUGUCAAAUAAUCCUUGAACCAACCAAGUCAUAUUGAAGACAUGCCUUCUUAAUAAGGAAAUCAUUUGAUCAUUGGAAACUGUGGCAUUUUAAGAAACAGAGGAAUGACAAAUCUACAUGUCUGGUGUUUGGCUGAAAAUCAAUAGUCCAUAUUUUACCUUGGUGAGACUCUCUUUCCUUGCCUACCUUUUUAAUUUUAAACUUUAAAGACAAAAGUAAUUUGUGUGAAUACAACUACCAAAAAAACCAAACAUCUUUCAUUUCCAAAGCUUGGCUUUCUGUGU